rnacentral:rRNA from 1 species
GACCUGAGAGGGUGAUCGGCCACACUCGGACUGAGACACGGCCCAGACUCCUACGGGAGGCAGCAGUAGGGAAUCUUCCACAAUGGGCGAAAGCCUGAUGGAGCAACGCCGCGUGAGUGAAGAAGGUUUUCGGAUCGUAAAACUCUGUUGUAAGGGAAGAACCAGUACAGUAGUAACUGGCUGUACCUUGACGGUACCUUAUUAGAAAGGCACGGCUAACUACGUGCCAGCAGCCGCGGUAAUACGUAGGUGGCAAGCGUUGUCCGGAAUUAUUGGGCGUAAAGCGCGCGCAGGCGGUCCUUUAAGUCUGAUGUGAAUGCCCACGGCUCAACCGAGGAGGGUCAUUGGAAACUGGAGGACUUGAGUGCAGAAGAGGAAAGUGGAAUUCCAAGUGUAGCGGUGAAAUGCGUAGAGAUUUGGAGGAACAUAGUGGCGAAGGCGACCUUCUGGUCUGUAACUGACGCUGAGGCGCGAAAGCGUGGGGAGCAAACAGGAUUAGAUAACCUGGUAGUCCACGCCGUAAACGAUGAGUGCUAAGUGUUAGGGGGUUUCCGCCCCUUAGUGCUGCAGCUAACGCAUUAAGCACUCCGCCUGGGGAGUACGGUCGCAAGAGUGAAACUCAAAGGAAU